GCCAGAGUGGCUCAGUGGUUGAGCAUUGAUCCAGGAAUCAAGAGUUCCUGGUUUGAUUCCAGGUCAAGGCA
rfam:Myotis davidii contig20644, whole genome shotgun sequence.